AAAAAAUGUCAGGGGCCCGUUAUUAUUGGGUGAACCUCUGUUAGUUGUUCGUCACUGAAGGUUCAGUAAAUGAUGGGAUAUUC